AUUUCAUUUUCAAACACUAAAUUUCUCACCUUCUUUCUUCACUCUAUCUUCUCUCUUUUUACCCACUCACUUACCCACCCUCACCCUUCCAUCUCUAGUAUCACCAAAAGCUUUGCCUCGUCGGCAGCGCCAUUGUUGCUCACAUCAUAGAGUUUGAACCAGAUAUCGACAAUGCUUCUAGCAGCAGAGACAAUGCCGAUGAUGCUGCUUACUGACACUGGUGAUGUCGUUGUCGUUGCUACUAAAGUCAUAGCAUUCGAACCAGGCGCCUUACUAUAUCACUGUUGCAGCAAUGACUCCGAUGAUGCUGCCCGCAGCAGAGUCAGUGCAGAUGAAACUACUUAUUAGAUGUCGGUGAUGCUGCUUAUUAGGUAGCAAAGAUAAUGUUGCUUACUUAAUGACAUAUUUGUUGGUGGUUUUGGUAAUCUGAUCUGUUAUGGAUGGCUUGCGAUGUGGGUAGUUUGUUGGUGGCUUUUUCAUUAGAUCUGCUGUUUAACCAAAUUUUUGGGAUGAUUGUUGGUGUUUUGCAAAUGGUGACAAUGAUUUCUUGAUAUAUGUGUUGUUCUAUUGUUGGUGGUGGUUUAAGAGAUGAUGAUUCUGUUGCUGGUGGUCGUGUUGAGGCUGUGCUUUUGUUCUUGACUUUGCUAGGAGUCGUCGGCAACAAAAAUCAUGUACGACUAAGUCUAUCUUCAUUGUGACUAUUUGUAACCAUAUUUAUGUGAAAUGUGACUAUAAAUGGUCAAAUUAGACUAACUUAGCUUCAGACAGUCAUAUUGAAGACAAAUUUGAUCACAGUUAAUCACAGAUAACACAUCAAUGAAUGUAGUAUUUAUGAUCGUGAAUUUGAGAUGAAGGUGGUAGUGGUGGUCCAUUGGAGGUGAUGGGAACUGGUGGUAGAUUGUGGUGUUGGUUUAUAGUGUGUGAUGAUUUUAUUUGUGGUGACCAUGUUUUAAUGUGAUUGGAUGUUACCAAUUUUGUGUUAUUUGUGAUUGGAUGUGACUUGGUUACAACCAUCACAGUUAAGACUGAAAUUAGUCACACUAAAAAUAAAUUUAAUCACAAUUAGUUGCAAAUAAUACAAGCCGGUGACUUGAAAAUUUUUG
rnacentral:lncRNA from 1 species